CCUUGGCUAAACCGAAGCAAAGAAGUUGUGGAAGAAUUUCUGUCUUUUUUGGGCAAUCUUGUGUCAGCUCAGACUGUAUAUCUAAGAUCUUGCAUGAAUAUGAUUGUCUCGCAUUUUCUACCAUCCCGUGUUGUUAUUAGUGAAGGAGAUGUUAAUAUUUCAGAUUCAGAAGAUGAGAAUGAAGAUAUUGUUGCGACAUUUAACACCUGUCAUAGGGCACUGCAGAUCAUUGCGCAGUAUGUUCCAUCGUAAGUACAUC